rnacentral:rRNA from 1 species
AUUGAACGCUGGCGGAAUGCUUUACACAUGCAAGUCGAACGGCAGCACGGACUUCGGUCUGGUGGCGAGUGGCGAACGGGUGAGUAAUACAUCGGAACGUGCCCAAUCGUGGGGGAUAACGUAGCGAAAGCUACGCUAAUACCGCAUACGAUCUAAGGAUGAAAGCGGGGGAUCGCAAGACCUCGCGCGAAUGGAGCGGCCGAUGGCAGAUUAGGUAGUUGGUAGGGUAAAGGCCUACCAAGCCGACGAUCUGUAGCUGGUCUGAGAGGAUGAUCAGCCACACUGGGACUGAGACACGGCCCAGACUCCUACGGGAGGCAGCAGUGGGGAAUUUUGGACAAUGGACGCAAGUCUGAUCCAGCCAUUCCGCGUGCAGGAUGAAGGCCCUCGGGUUGUAAACUGCUUUUGUACAGAACGAAAAGGCUCUGGUUAAUACCUAGGGCUCAUGACGGUACUGUAAGAAUAAGCACCGGCUAACUACGUGCCAGCCGCCGCGGUAA